GAUGAACGCUGACAGAAUGCUUAACACAUCAGCAAUUGAUUGGUGGCGGACGGGUGAGUAACGCGUAAAGAACUUGCCUCACAGGUAGGGACAACAUUUGGAAACGAAUGCUAAUACCUAAUACUGUGAGAGAGCUUUGCGUCCCAUUAGCUAGUUGGAGAGGUAACGGCGCACAAAGGCGAUGAUGGGUAGCCGGCCUGAGAGGGUGAUCGGCCACAAGGGGAUGGAGGCACCGCCCGUACUCAUACUGGAGGCAUGAGUGGGGAAUAGUGGAAAAUGUACCGAAGUCUGAUCCAGCAAUUCGGUGUGCACGAUGAAGUUUUCGGAAUGUAAAGUGCUUUCAGUUGAGAAGCGGUACCAACAGAAGAAGUGACGGCUAAAUACGUGCCAGCAGCCGCGGUAAUAC
rnacentral:rRNA from 1 species